rnacentral:pre_miRNA from 1 species
UGACAUGAUCAGGAUGUAAAAGAAUAGGUGAAAGGAUUAAGUAUAUCAGAUAAAAUACAUCUAUUACAAGGAACAAAAUUAAUCUAUAUCUGAUAAUCUUUAAUUCUUUAACCUAUCCUUCUACAUCCUCAUAAUGUAU